rnacentral:rRNA from 1 species
CCUACGGGAGGCAGCAGUGGGGGAUAUUGCACAAUGGGGGGAACCCUGAUGCAGCGACGCCGCGUGGGUGAAGGAGUGCUUCGGCAUGUAAAGCCCUAUCGGCAGGGAAGAAGCAAGACGGUACCAGACUAAGAAGCCCCGGCUAACUACGUGCCAGCAGCCGCGGGAAUACGUAGGGGGGGAGCUGUAUUCGGAUUCACUGGGGGGAAAGGGAGCGUAGACGGCCAGGCAAGCCAGGGGUGAAAUCCCGGGGCACAACCCCGGGACUGCCCUUGGAACUGGGCGGCUAGAGUGCGGUAGGGGCAGGCAGAAUUCCUGGUGUAGCGGUGAAAUGCGUAGAUAUCAGGAGGAACACCGGCGGCGAAGGCGGCCUGCUGGACUGCGACUGACGUUGAGGCGCGAAAGCGUGGGGAGCGAACAGGAUUAGAUACCCGAGUAGUC